rnacentral:tRNA from 1 species
GCCUGGCUGGCUCAGUCAGUAGAGUUUGUGACUCUGAAUCACAAGGAUGUGAGUUUGAGCCCCACAUUGGGCU